UAAAGAUUCAUCGCUGAUAGAUAGGCAUGCGUUCCAUUAGGCAGUUGGCGGGGUAACGGCCCACCAAACCGACGAUGGAUAGGGGUUCUGAGAGGAAGGUCCCCCACAUUGGUACUGAGACACGGACCAAACUCCUACGGGAGGCAGCAGUGAGGAACAUUGGUCAAUGGGCGUAAGCCUGAACCAGCCAAGUCGCGUGAGGGAUGAAGGUUCUAUGGAUCGUAAACCUCUUUUAUAAGGGAAUAAAGUGCGGGACGUGUCCCGUUUUGUAUGUACCUUAUGAAUAAGGAUCGGCUAACUCCGUGCCAGCAGCCGCGGUAAUACGGAGGAUCCGAGCGUUAUCCGGAUUUAUUGGGUUUAAAGGGUGCGUAGGCGGCCUUUUAAGUCAGCGGUGAAAGUCUGUGGCUCAACCAUAGAAUUGCCGUUGAAACUGGGAGGCUUGAGUAUGUUUGAGGCAGGCGGAAUGCGUGGUGUAGCGGUGAAAUGCUUAGAUAUCACGCAGAACCCCGAUUGCGAAGGCAGCCUGCCAAGCCAUGACUGACGCUGAUGCACGAAAGCGUGGGGAUCAAACAGGAUUAGAUACCCUGGUAGUCCAC
rnacentral:rRNA from 1 species